GCCAAAGCUAAGCGGAAAGGCGGCCGCUUCGGAGGUGCGCGGCCGGGCGCGGCCACCGAGAAUAUUUUAUCUGGAUGCUGACAUCUGGAAAGUACCUGCCGGCCUCUCACCUCCCUGCCUUCCUUGAGGCCACUGAAGCUUGGUAGACAAAGCUGGGAAAACUGAGAGACUUGGUUGACAUCACCAUGGACACCUGGGACAGCUGGAAAUAAUACAGGAUAGGUCAUACAAAAUCAAAUAAGAGAUGGGCAUCUUACUAGAUCUGAAACAAGAGUUUAUUAUUUUGCCUACUGGAGUACCACUAUUGACCAUCUCAAACAUUCAGAAGAUCCGGGAUGUCAGAU